UACAGAGGUGGGCAAGCGUUGUUCGGAAUUACUGGGCGUAAAGGGCUCGUAGGCGGCCCACUAAGUCAGCAUGUGAAAUCCCCAGGCUCAACCUGGGAACUCGCAUCUGAUGACUGGUGGCGUUGAAUUCGGGAGAGGGAUGCAGAAUUCCAGGUGGUAGCGGUGAAAUGCGUAGAUAUCUGGAGGAAUACCGGUGGCGAAGGCGGCGAUCCUGGACCGACAUUGACGCUGAGGAGCGAAAGCUAGGGGAGCAAAGCGGGAUU
rnacentral:rRNA from 1 species